UACGUAGGGGGCAAGCGUUGUCCGGAUUUAUUGGGCGUAAAGAGCGUGUAGGCGGCUAGGUAGGUCCGUUGUGAAAACUCGAGGCUCAACCUCGAGACGCCGAUGGAAACCAUCUAGCUAGAGUCCGGAAGAGGAGAGUGGAAUUCCUGGUGUAGCGGUGAAAUGCGCAGAUAUCAGGAAGAACACCCGUGGCUAAGGCGGCUCUCUAGUACGGUACUGACGCUGAGACGCGAAAGCCAGGGGAGCGAACGGG
rnacentral:rRNA from 1 species